UUGGUGCAGUGGUACCUGGCCAGUGCAAGUGCAGAGGCUGGGAGGUAGUUUCCUGCAGAACUUCGGAGGCGGCAGCUGUCCUGAGAAGCACCCAGAACCCCCUACGGCGAGGCAGCCCGGAACCGCCUCUUACCCCGUUUGCACAGGGACCUGCUACUCCUGGCCUGGAGGCAUCGUGGGCCCAUGGCGACAGCAGGGUCCUGGAGGGUGCGGAGGGAGCACCAUGCUGCUCAGGAGGCAGAGAGGAUUCUAGUGCUAGAAGAAAGCUGGAGACCCUGGCCCAGAACACGCAGGACAAUCCGAGGCUGCCUGGAGUGCGUGAAGCGCCAGCUGUUCCGUGUCGGUGAUGACUGGUACUUCCUCUUUUUCCUGGGGAUGAUAAUGGCACUGAUCAGUUUCGCCAUGGAUUUCACCGUCUCCAGGGUAUCGAAUGCACACAAGUGGCUUUACCAAGAGCUCGGGGAUCACUUUCUGCUGAAAUACCUGUCCUGGACUAUGUACCCAGUUGCCCUGUCCGCCUUCUCCACUGGCUUCUCUCAGAGCAUCACUCCACAUUCGGGAGGCUCUGGCAUCCCGGAGCUCAAGACCAUUCUCACUGGAGUCAUGCUGGAGGAGUACCUGGCCAUUAAAAACUUUGGAGCCAAAGUGGUGGGGCUGACCUGCACCCUUGCAUGUGGGAGCACCAUAUUCCUCGGCAAAGUCGGCCCCUUUGUGCACCUCUCCAGCAUGAUCGCAGCGUAUUUAGGAAAGAUCCGAACGUCUGUCGUUGGGGAGUAUGAGAACAAAAGCAAGCAGACGGAGAUGCUGGUGGCAGCUGCUGCUGUGGGAGUCGCGACCGUCUUCGGGGCUCCCAUUAGCGGGGUCCUGUUCAGCAUUGAGGUGAUGUCAUCCCACUUUGCGGUCAGGGACUAUUGGAGGGGCUUCUUCUCUGCCACCUGCGGGGCCUUCAUGUUUCGCCUGCUCGCCGUCUUCAACAGUGAACAAGAAACCAUCACUGCUCUAUUCAAGACCAAUUUUAAGAUUGAUUUCCCCUUUGAUCUCCCAGAGACGUUCUUCUUCAUGGUGCUUGGGGGGAUCUGUGGGGUUCUAAGCUGUGCGUAUCUCUUCUGUCAGCGCUGGCUCCUGGGAUACGUCCGGAGGAACACGAUCACCGCCAAGCUGCUGGCUACAGACAAGCCCAUUUAUUCCUCCCUCGUGGCCCUCCUGCUCGCCUCCAUCACAUUCCCUCCCAGCCUGGGGCACUUCAUGGCAUCCAGGCUCAGCAUGAAGGAGCACCUCACCUCCCUCUUCGACAACCAGACGUGGGGCCUUCUGUCCCAGAACGCAUCGCUGGCCAGGCCUCCUCAAGUCGACCCUGAAAACCUGUGGAUUGAGUGGUGGGAGCCCAGAAUUACCAUCUAUGGCAGCCUGGCGCUGUUCCUGGUGAUGAAGUUCUGGAUGCUGAUCUUGGCCACCACCAUGCCGAUGCCAGCUGGAUACUUCAUGCCGCUCUUUGUAUAUGGCGCUGCAAUCGGGCGUUUGGUGGGGGAAGUGGUCGCCUUUCUCUUCCCCCAUGGUAUCCAGUCGGACGGCGUAGUUAACACCAUCACUCCGGGAGGCUACGCACUGGCAGGGGCGGCAGCGUUUUCGGGCUCGGUCACCCACACCCUGUCCACUGCCCUGCUGGCCUUUGAAGUGACUGGGCAGAUCACCCAUAUCCUGCCCGUCAUCCUGGCUGUGCUGGUUGCCAACGCGAUAGCCCAGAAGUUCCAGCCCUCCUUCUACGAUGGCACCAUCAUCGUGAAGAAAUUGCCCUAUUUGCCCCGGAUCAGGAGCCGACACAUCGGCUCCUACAGGGUGACCACUGACCAGUUCAUGAACACCCACUUUGCAGUCCUGGCCAAGGGCGCCAGCUUUGAGGAGAUCCUCAGUGUCGUGACCUCUACCGACGACCUGGAGUACCCCAUUGUGGAGAGCACAGACUCUUUAAUGCUGGUGGGCAUGGUGCAAAGAGCUGAGCUGAUCAGGUACCUCCAGACCCACGAUGAAGCCAAGCCGUCCCCCCAGGAGCCAGGGGAGAAGCCUCGCUCCAACGGGACACUGGGGGACGACUGCACCAUCGAGCCAAUAACCCUCCAGCUGUCACCUUGGACAUCUCUGCAUCAGGCUCACAACCUGUUUGAACUGCUGAACAUGCAGCGUGUCUUCGUCACCUCCUUGGGACGGAUCGUCGGGGCCAUCUCUUGGCGCGAGAUGAAGAAGGCGAUUGAAGACCUGGCAAAUCCGAAGAUGCUGAAGUGAGCAAUUCGGAGCCUGGGAGAGCAGCCCCUUCCCCUUUCUGUGCAGCGGAGCAUGGGACAGGGGAUCUUGCUGGGGCACUGAGAUCUCAGCAGCAGGGGGACAGUGCUGGCAGGAGCCCCCGCCUCUUACGUGGGUCUCCCCAAUUAUUUUUUGUGAAUGGAAAUGGAUUUGAAAGCUCCCCCCCGCCCUUCCUGCUCCCGCCGCAAGGAGCCACGGUUGUGAGAGCAGAGGCAAAACCUAGACCUCUCUGUCCUGGGGAGCCUGCCAGCCGCUGGCAACCCUCACCCACCCUGGAGACACAAUAACACACAGCUAUACAGGGACAAACAACUUGGGCCAUAGUCUGUCAGUGCAGAGGGCAAGCCAAGGCUGCAGUGUAUAGUGCAAUGUGAAAUAUGCAUGCACCAUCCUGAAUUUAGGGCUUGCUGCCCUCUCAGGGCUGGGCCCAGUGGGACAAGAGUCUGCUACUUAGCAAGCCCUAGAAGAGAUGCUCCUUGAGCUCAAAGGGUAGGGCCUGUGCUUUGGGCAGUGAAAGGCCCCAGUUCCUGUCGUGUACAUCUGGGUUCAUCACAGACCUGCCUGCGUUGAAUUCUCCUGUAACGUGAUGUGCUGCCUUUACUAUCCAAUCACUCCCUAACUGCAAGGGUGCAGCUUGAGUCAGAAACAAGCUCGCACAAGCCCUGAGGAGCCAGACCACCCCUUGCCUCCCCAGAGGAAGGUCAGCCUAGACCAUCCCCAGGGCAGCCAGGCUGUUGUGGCCUAUACAGCAGGGGGUGGGGGGGCCUCCUUUGAAAUCCAUUGUUCCCACUCACGGCGCACUGUAAAUCAGAGAUGAGGGCCAGCCGGUGCGGAGCUAUUGAUCCUUUGUAUUUCUCUGGGGACACAGAACAUGGAGGGGAAAAGGCAUCACAGCCGUUGCAUCCCGCCCCCCCGGGGGACCCACUCCCCUUGCCCCCGCUGACACAGGAAGCGUUGCUAAGGUGCACACAGUCUCCACGCAAUACUAGGAACCAGCGAGGUCACAAAGCACACAGCCCAGGCUGGACAGGGAGGUGGUCUUAGGGGCCAGCCCUAAGAGGAGGCAGUGGCUCCCAGAAGUGACAGCCGUUGCACAUACCAGCCGCCUUCUUUACAGUCCCCCCUUUAAAGAAGCACCCUGCAUGGGAGGAAAUCCUGCGGGAUGCAGGGGUGGGGUGGGACCCUGCCAGAAGUGCCAGGCGUAGCGGUGCCAACAUACAAAGUCUUUUCAAUUAAAAUAUAACAUUCACCUGUCCCCCAUUCCCCCGCCCUCAGUGGGCUAGCUGAGAUUUUUCUCAUUCGUAUCAUUCCCCCUUCCCUCCUCUCCCCCUCCCAAAAUGGGUGAACGAUGGUAUGUGCCCGAGGGAGGGUGGGGGCAGCCGUAGGGCCUGCCCACAGAGCCGUUUGAGAUCAGAGAAUCAAAGCCAGCUGUGCACAGCAAUUGUGGGGGGUGGGUUUGGAGGAAGGGCCUGUCAUGUAAUCUAGGUUGAACCUGACCCCAUUGUCCCCGAAUCGUGAUGUGUCCCGGCCCUACCCAAGGCUGCAGCACAGUGAGGGGACAUGGCUGUUGGUGUGGGGUGUAACUAGCAUCCACACGGCAGCUGGGCCCUGGAAAUUAACUAUGGUCCUGUAAAGAGGAAGGACCAAACUGACUGGGUUUGUAGCAUUUCCACCUUUAGGCUGGGAUUUGCAAAGAGUUGAUGGGAAUUAGACACUCCCCAUCCCUCUGCCUUGAUGGAAUUUGGGUACCUAACUCCCUUAGGCACCUUUGAAACUCCCAGCCUCAGAGACCAGGGUGACUUCCUAGUACAAGCCAGCCCCUCACUAGCCAAACGCCAAAGCCCCUGGCCCCAAGUGGCUUGAGAACACAUCUCUGCAGCGAGCUGGAAUUGCAGGGGGAAGCACAGAGACGCGCUCAUGUUAAACCAGCCAGGAGCUCGUCCGAACUACAUCAAGACAAGAAGCCAAAGCGUCGAGUGCCGGCUUGCACACAGACCACAUGCUCACGUGGCUAGCUGGGAGCACCGCGGAUGGACUCCCGCCUGAAGCACAGACACUGAAUACGCUUGGAUGCGGAUGCUUCCCCGGCUCCCCCCGCUGCCCCAGCCCUCGGGGAACCCACUGGGGGCCGGAACAUGUCUUGGUCUUGCAGCGAUUCGACUCAACGCAGAUCAGCAGCCUUGGCCAAAGGAAAAUCAAUCUAAUCCCCAAACUCGGUGCAAAUGGUGACAGUCCAGCAAAUGCUGCCUCUAAAGGGCUAGAGCCGCAUAUGGCCUGGCAGCCCCAGCCCCCAGGCAGCCCCAGCGGUCACUGGUAGGAGGGAUGAUAUUGGUGGCGCUUUGCCAUACUGUGUCAAACCAAUAGGCAGCUUCUAAUCACUGCUCCCGGCAGCAUCCAGGGAGCUGGAACUAGCCAUCUGGGCAGGACCCCUCGCUCCAUCCUCAGGACAACCCCGUCCCCACUUCCUGUCCCGAGUUGGGGUGGGAGAUCUAGUUAUAAAACACUUCGUCCUCCGAGAGGGAGCUGCUGUCCACAUCGUGCAGGGAGUUGCUGAGCCGCUUCUGGCGGACGCUGGUCAUGCCCUCCUGCCCUCUCCCCACGCAGGCCUGCUCCUUCUCCGAGCUGUCUGCCUCGGAGCUCCCGGUCUGGGGGGAGCCGCAGGGGAGAGCCCCGGGGAAGGGGUGGGUAGAAUUCCACCUGUCCACUCCGGAGUGCCCCCAGGGUAUUGGGGAGGUGUGUGUGGAGGAGGAGCAGGUGGGCAGGCUGCCUUCCAGGUUGGGGCUACUUAUCACCUGGGGACUCAGCAGCAGCUUCUCCUGCAGGUAGAUGCUCUCCAGGUCUGAAAGCAAAGCCGGGGAGGGGAAAAGUGUUUGUGGGGACUCAGCAGGGCAAGCUACUGUCAGCUGGCAGGGCCUGGAGAACGGGCAAGGUCAACACUUUUGGGAGUGGCCACCAAUCCGGGUGCCCAGCUUGAGACACCUGAUUCCUUGAGGCACUGAUCACUCACAGCUCCAGCUGGAGUUGCUGGGUCCUCGGUCCAUCCAGGGCCCCAGUCCUGCCCUCCACUCCAGGUGUCACCCUGGCCUUGCGGAAGGGGAUCCCCCAGGGAUGCAGCACUGGCCUAGUGCAGGGGGGGUGGCCAGGCUGCCCCUGUGCUCCAUGGCCCCAGCUGCUCAAACAUCCCCCUUGGAACAAGAUGACAGACCUGGAGCCAGGGAUCCACACCUGACUGAUACAGGUCACCAGCAAGGAUGGCCCCGAGGGACCCUCCUGAAUCUGUUACAUGCAGGGAGGGCUGGGGAGCACCAGGAGCCCUGCAGGGCUGCUCAUGGCAGAGAGGAGGGGGAAGGUACCUUGAAGCUGUACAAUCUCCUGGGAGCUGCCCCCGUAAUUCAUUUCCUCAUCGUCUAGUGAGGACCAGGCGCUCAGGGUGGCCUCGGUGAUGGCAAAUUGUUCAGCGACCCCUGGGCAGGACCGUGGAAAACCAAACACAGGUUACAAGGGGAGGGGAUUGAUACUGGGCCGUGUCCUGAGCCUGGCUACACCAAGGUAAAUCUGGAGCGACAUCGCUGAAAUCAGAGCGAAUCCGGAUGAAGAACAGUAUUUGCAGGAGGAGUCUGGCUCGUUCCCUGGCAAAUCAGCAGAAUUCUAUCGCCGGGACAUAGGAGGUCCCAGAGGGGAUCCAGCCACGCUCCAUCCAGUCCAGUGCCCUGUCUCCAGCCAGACCUGGCAAAUGCACGGGCACUGCUCCCUGCCAUUCUCCCCAAGGGAUGCCCCAGUGCCCAGCCAUUUGCAGUGCUCUGUCACCGCCCUUUAGGGGGUGCCGCUGUACAAGCGGAGUCGGUGCUGGUGCAUUCACUGCCCCCCCGCAGCACAGAUUCUCCCCUGCAGCGUCAUUGGCCUAGCGGCUCCCCCCUGCCCACCCACCUGCUGCAAAGCGUGCCUCCCUCAGCUCGUCCGUGAGGUAGGAAUACUGCUCUUCCUCCGUCAGCCAUGGCUCGCAGCCCACCUGGGGGGCGCUCCAGCCUUUCCACUCGAUGAGGUGGGCCACCCGGCCGCGAGCCAUGGCGGUGGGCUUGGUGAUGUGGUCCUUUACGGUCUGGACUAACCCUAAAGCAGAGACGGGAGGAGCUGGACUGAAGUGGGUGGGAUUCAGACCAGUAGGAUCAACGCGUCAAGACUUGGUGCUGAAGGAACAUCCUGCAUGACUGAUCAUGUCCAUGCUGGGUGGGCAUCUGCACUGUGGUAGCCAACCCCCAGCCAGUCAGCCCCACUCACCGCAAUCCUCUCCUAAGGGGACACUACAGCAGCUGGCUUGGAUUUCUGCAGGGGGCUUCCCUAAGGAGCUGGUCAGGAAUCUAGAGGGACAUUUAUAAAAUGUUGCUUGGUUUGGGAUUGAGGGGCGCUGGCAGAGCUCUGAGUGGGACCCAAGAUGGAAUAGCGGGGGGCUACAGGUCAGGAUUGAGGGGCAUUGACAGAGCUCUGGGCGGGACCCGAGAUGGAGUAGUGGGGGGCUGCAGGUCAGGAUUGAGGGGCGCUGGCAGAGCUGUGGGUGGGACUCAAGAUGGAGUAGCAGGGGGGCUGCAGGUCAGGAUUGAGGGGCGCUGGCAGAGCUGUGGGUGGGACUCGAGAUGGAGUAGCGGGGGGCUGCAGAUCAGGAUUGAGGGGCACUGUCAGAGCUCUGGGUGGGACCCGAGAUGGAGUAGCAGGGGGCUGUAGGUCAGGAUUGAGGGGUGCUGGCAGAGCUCUGGGUGGGACCCGAGUUGGAGUAGUGGGGGGGCUGCAGGUCAGGAUUGAGGGGCGCUGGCAGAGCCCUGGGCGGGACCCAAGAUGGAGUAGCGGGGGGGGCUGCAGGUCAGGAUUGUGGGGUGCUGACAGAGCUCUGGGUGGGACCCAAGUUGGAGUAGCGGGGGGCUGCAGGUCAGGAUUGAGGGGCACUGGCAGAGCUCUGGGCGGGACCCGAGAUGGAGUAGAAGGGGGGCUGCAGGUCAGGAUUGAGGGGUACUGGCAGAGCUACUUGCAGGAUGCCCUGGACUGGAAUAGCAGGUUGGAAGUGAAGUGCACCAUCGCCCCUGCCCCUCUCUUGUAACCUGAGACUCAGGUUCCCUUUCUGGACGGUGAAGUGCCCCCUGCCUUGGCAAUGUGGGGUAAUGUUU